ACUUCGGUACAUCGGUGGCAGGUGGUGCGUGGUUGUCGUCAGCUCGUGUCGUGAGAUUGUUGGGUUAAGUCCCGCAACGAGCGCAACCCCUAUUGUUAGUUGCCAUCAUUCAGUUGGGCACUCUAGCGAGACUGCCGGUAAUAAACCGGAGGAAGGUGGGGAUGACGUCAAAUCAUCAUGCCCCUUAUGACCUGGGCUACACACGUGCUACAAUGGUUGGUACAACGAGUUGCGAGUCGGUGACGGCGAGCUAAUCUCUUAAAGCCAAUCUCAGUUCGGAUUGUAGGCUGCAACUCGCCUACAUGAAGUCGGAAUCGCUAGUAAUCGCGGAUCAGCACGCCGCGGUGAAUACGUUCCCGGGCCUU
rnacentral:rRNA from 1 species